GGAGAGAUGGCCGAGUGGACUAAGGCGCUCGACUCGAAAUCGAGUAGGCGGGCAAAACCCGCCUCGUGGGUUCGAAUCCCACUCUCUCCG
rnacentral:tRNA from 1 species